UACUAUUUUUGAACAAUUAAUACAUGUAUAUACUAAGUACUCAUUAACACAGUAAGCAAAUUUGGGAUGAAAUAAGUUAAUUUUGGUGCAGGAAGCCAUAAAUUUUUCUUGAUGUUUCUCCAUUAUUACUGCAUUUUCUAGGUGUUCCAUAAAGGCUUCCUCACCUGCCACAACACUCAAAACAAACCAAGGAAGGAAUACCCAGUGCUACUCUUACUCAGUUGCAAUAAUUACCUCACCCAGGAUAAUUAAAGGAUGCAUAUUGAUAAAGAAAUCAAAAGUGGAAAGAGAACCUGCCUUCAACUUAUCUUGAUGAAAUGCAGGGUUGAUGAUCUUUCUAUGCUUAGCCCACUCCUCUCCAUCGAGGUUUACAAGUCCACUUACAAGUAAGCUGACAAGAGGGUUGGUAUGCGGCUUCUGAAAGUCAUUGAAUUUGGUAAAUAUCUCUCUUAUUUCUUCAGGUUCCAUGAUGGUCACCCUUGGAAUCGGACCAACCCAAGAAAAAGAAUUCUUGCCUGCAUUUUCCCCAGAUUUCAUAUCAAAGCAUUGGGAAUUAAAAUUUUAAUUCAAAGAUUAAUUUAAUGCUUUCAGUGUGUUUAAUUACUCAAUUUUGAAUAUUCCUUUAAUAAAAUGGUAGGUUGUUGGAAUCUACCUCAUGUACUUAACCAAUAUUUUAUAAUUCUUGUAUUUGAAUACUUAUGUUAUCCAUUAAACUUUUCAAUGCCAUUAAAACAGUAAUAAAAAUUUAUUCAAUAAUCAUUUUUGAUAAUGUACAGAAAGAAGAAGAAUUGAACAAUUAUUAACCCAAACAUGUCAUCAUACCCAACUUCAGCAAAAUGGCUUGUGGGCUCCAAUGGUCUUUUGGCUUAUCCGUCACUUUCAUGUAUUUUUUAGUUUUUCUCCCAUUUGCCAUUUCAAUAUUAAAAUACUCCGGGAAAAAAAUUGGCUUAAAUUACUCAUACUAAACUUGAAUUAUGUUGUUCAGAAAAGAUUUUCCUAUAUUUUUUGAUCUAAAUUUAAACAUUUUCUUUCUGAUAGUAUUUCUUUCAAUUAAUCACUGUUUUCACUGAAUAAAACUUCGCAUGUUCAACAAUCACAGUAAUUGACACAUAUCAUUAAAAUAAUCAUCGAUUAAAUGGAUUCAUUUAAUUAUGUAUCAAAAAAUUGAUACAAAAUUAAAUACAUGUUAAAACUGAACGGACUAAAACCAUUUUUCAUGUUACUAAGAUGGAACAAAACACUAAAAAUUUUGUAAUAAAAUCAUAAUUUGAUCCAAAAAGACAACAUUCAAACUAUUAAGGGAUGAAAGAAGACCAUUUCCAAUUUAGGCAUACCAUAAUUCUUGACAGUUUGAUGAAGGAAAGGACCAACAUAUUGCGUAAUAUCAUCACCGAGGGGCAUAGGUUGGGAUCUUGCUUGUCUGCUCAUGGCGAAGCUCUCUUUGAUAUCUCCAGACAAAAACCUGUAAGAAUUGCCUGUAAGACCCUGUUGCCUCAGGCACCUUUCCAGCCUCUUUGGCUUCACCCACACCCAGUCUACGAUUCUCCAUCCCCAUAUCAAUAUCCCAACAACAAGGAAAGAAAGCGAAAUUCCAAUUACAGGGGGCACCUCCAUUUUUCUUUGCUGAGAAAAUGGUGUCUGAAGAGUAAGUGGGUUGUUUACGGAAGAGUAGACAAAGACUGAGGUUGGUUUAUGGGGUAAAAAGCUUGUGCAAUGGGCAAAGACAAAUGGUUGAUGUUACAGCUGAUAAGAGGUUCCUGGUGUCAAGGCAGGCGACGUGUACCUAAAUAUGACGAUUUNUAAUAAAUUUUAAAAUUAAUAAUAAUAAAAAUAAUUAUAAUAAAACAAAAAAAAAUAAUAUCAAAUAUAAUGAAAUUUAAUAUAAAUCACAUAUGCAAAAUUUAUUAUCAUAUAAUAUGAUAAAAUACAUCAUUAACAUCUAACUUUCAAAUACUAAUAAUAUAAAAAAUCAUUCAUAAUUUUUAAUCGUAAUAAUUACAUUAUUACAUUUAUAAAAUUAAAAAAACUUAUUAAAAUAAUUAUUUAAAAUUAUUUAUAUAAAGACUAAAAUAAUCUUUAAUAAUUAUUUUUAAUAAGUUAAUAAACGUGUUACAUAUACACAUUUAAAUACGAUAACACGAUUAAAAAAAUAUAUUUAAAUGUGUUUGUCGUGUCUGACACGUUAAGACAAAAUUCAAACCAAAUUAAGAGUUUUUUUUUUGAAAUUCAAACCAAAUUAAGAGUCUAGUGUUAACAUUACACCAGCAACAAAAUUCAACUAGGAUGGGAAACACCCAAAACCUCUAUUUAGGGGUUUGAAAGCCCUUGUUUCCAGUGUUUGAAGAAAUCUGAAAAAUGGUACAAAAUUAACCAAUGGUUUAUUGGUUUUCAGAUUUAGACAAGUGAACUUAGAGUAACUUAUGUGAGACUUCGGAUACUCUUGAACCUUGAGCCAAUUAGAUAUUUCACAGACAGAUUGGUUCUCCUGAGUUUAAUUUUCAAUGUCUCAAAAGAUCUUUUUUGUUGCUUAAAAGAGAAAGCACCAUAGUUGAGGUCUAGCAAUUCAUCCCAUAAGUACAUGCUUCAUUGAGAGUUUGAGACUUGGCCCCUACGCUUGUAUUUGAAUUGUGUUACACUAUGAACGCUAGAUUUUGAUUAACAUUUACAUGAUGAACGAUGAACGUGAUUAUUGAUUGGGUUGUUUAACAUAUAACCUGAUGGUUUUACCACUAGAGUUUAUGUAAAAUUAUGUGAGCACCAUGCUGUGGACGUAGAGUGAUGUUGGUGCAGGGAGAGUGAGCAUAGGAAGGGGAAAGCUCGAACCAGAAUUGUCUGAGGAUCAUUGCAAGCGCCAUUUUUGCUUCCAUCAGAGCAAAGUUCUGUCCAAUGCAGAUUCUAGGACCCCAUCCAAAAGGGAAAUAUAUGACUUGACUCUUUGUUGCUUUCGAAACCCCUUCCGAGAACCUGUCAGGAUUGAACUCAUGUGCAUCAUCGCCCCAAAGUUCUUGAUCAUGGUGAAUCAGCAGCACUGGCAGCGUAAUUUCUGCGCCAGCUGGUAACAACAAUUUUCCCAGUCUCGUAUCUUUCGGAACGGAGCGCCCUAGUGCAACGACUGCCGGGUACAGCCUAAGAACCUCGUGCAAGAUCAUUGUUACCUGUGGCAUUGAAUCAAUUAAAGUAAAUAUAGAAAAAUGUGCUCUUAAUUUGGUCCAUUAUAAUCGGAGAACAGGACUUACGACUUUCAGACGGUUCAAGCCAUCAGAAUCUGGUUUACUGUCACCAAAAACUUCCAAAACCUCUUCUCUUGCCUUAGUCUGCCAAUGUGGAUGCCUUGCCAACAAAAUCAUUGUCCAAACCAGCAAAACGGAGGUGGUCUCUUGGCCAGCAAAGUAAAACAGCUUGCACUCCUCAAUCACAUCUUCAAUGCUCAUUCCCAUGUUCUUGUGAUCCCCUUGUUCUUGAAUUUCUCUAAUGUUGGAUUCUACAAGUAUGCCUAACAAGUCAUCAUUACUGACUUCACUCGCCUUAGUUGCCUCCUCUCUUUUCUUUAUCAUUCCCUUCAGUGAGUCUUUUAUAUCUUUGGCAAUCACCUUCAUCUUCCUGUUUGUCUUAGUUGGUAGAUACCUAAUAAGACAAAUGUAAAAUAUAGCUUUUAGCACAUAAAGAAGAAAAUCCUUGACCAAAAUGGAUUGAACUGUGAAAAAUAACAAAUUUUACCUCCAUCCCGGAAUGUAAGCUGACUGUACCACUUGCAUUGUAAGACUGGUUUGAUCCUCUAGUAGUUGGAAAAUUCGUCUACCUUCUUCGUAGCUGCUUCCAAAUGCUGCUCGGGAAAUCACAUCUCUUGUCAAUUUUACGAGGUAAGGCCACACAUCUAACUCACUAGACCCCUCUAAGAAAACCAGCUUCUCCCAUUUGCUGAUCAUCUCAAUACAACUUUGAUAGAAAGCUGGCAACAUGUUCUGUAAUGAUUUCCACAUCAGGAUAAGAUUACUGUCAUUGGUACUAUUUUUGAACAAUUAAUACAUGUAUAUACUAAGUACUCAUUAACACCGUAAGCAAAUUUGGGAUGAAAUAAGUUAAUUUUGGUGCAGGGAGCCAUAAAUUUUCCUCGAUGUUUCUCCAUUAUUACUGCAUUUUCCAGGUGUUCCCAUAAAGGCUUCCUCACCAGCCACAACACUCAAAACAAACCAAGGAAGGAAUACCCAGUGCUACUCUGACUCAGUUGCAAUAAUUACCUCACCCAGGAUAAUUAAAGGAUGCAUAUUGAUAAAGAAAUCAAAAGUGGAAAUAGAACAUGCCUUCAACUUAUCUUGAUGAAAUGCAGGGUUGAUGAUCUUUCUAUGCUUAGCCCACUCCUCUCCAUCGAGGUUUACAAGUCCACUUACAAGUAAGGUGACAAGAGGGUUGCUAUGCGGCUUCUGAAAGUCAUUGAAUUUGGUAAAUAUCUCUCUUAUUUCUUCAGGUUCCAUGAUGGUCACCCUUGGAAUCGGACCAACCCAAGAAAAAGAACUCUUGCCUGCAUUUUCCCCAGAUUUCAUAUCAAAGCAUUGGGAAUUAAAAUUUUAAUUCAAAGAUUAAUUAAAUGCUUUCAGUGUGUUUAAUUACUCAAUUUUGAAUAUUCCUUUAAUAAAAUGUUAGGUUGUUGGAAUCUGCCUCAUGUACUUAACCAAUAUUUUAUAAUUCUUGUAUUUGAAUACUUAUGUUAUCCAUUAAACUUUUCAAUGCCAUUAAAACAGUAAUAAAAAUUUAUUCAAUAAUCAUUUUUGAUAAUGUACAGAAAGAAGAAGAAUUGAACAAUUAUUAACCCAAACAUGUCAUCAUACCCAACUUCAGCAAAAUGGCUUGUGGGCUCCAAUGGACUUUUGGCUUAUCCGUCACUUUCAUGUAUUUUUUAGUUUUUCUCCCAUUUGCCAUUUCAAUAUUAAAAUACUCCGGGAAAAAAAUUGGCUUAAAUUACUCAUACUAAACUUGAAUUAUGUUGUUCAGAAAAGAUUUUCCUAUAUUUUUUGAUCUAAAUUUAAACAUUUUCUUUCUGAUAGUAUUUCUUUCAAUUAAUCACUGUUUUCACUGAAUAAAACUUCGCAUGUUCAACAAUCACAGUAAUUGACACAUAUCAUUAAAAUAAUCAUCGAUUAAAUGGAUUCAUUUAAUUAUGUAUCAAAAAAUUGAUACAAAAUUAAAUACAUGUUAAAACUGAACGGACUAAAACCAUUUUUCAUGUUACUAAGAUGGAACAAAACACUAAAAAUUUUGUAAUAAAAUCAUAAUUUGAUCCAAAAAGACAACAUUCAAACUAUUAAGGGAUGAAAGAAGACCAUUUCCAAUUUAGGCAUACCAUAAUUCUUGACAGUUUGAUGAAGGAAAGGACCAACAUAUUGCGUAAUAUCAUCACCGAGGGGCAUAGGUUGGGAUCUUGCUUGUCUGCUCAUGGCGAAGCUCUCUUUGAUAUCUCCAGACAAAAACCUGUAAGAAUUGCCUGUAAGACCCUGUUGCCUCAGGCACCUUUCCAGCCUCUUUGGCUUCACCCACACCCAGUCUACGAUUCUCCAUCCCCAUAUCAAUAUCCCAACAACAAGGAAAGAAAGCGAAAUUCCAAUUACAGGGGGCACCUCCAUUUUUCUUUGCUGAGAAAAUGGUGUCUGAAGAGUAAGUGGGUUGUUUACGGAAGAGUAGACAAAGACUGAGGUUGGUUUAUGGGGUAAAAAGCUUGUGCAAUGGGCAAAGACAAAUGGUUGAUGUUACAGCUGAUAAGAGGUUCCUGGUGUCAAGGCAGGCGACGUGUACCUAAAUAUGACGAUUUAUGUUUUCGUAUCGUAAACGUAUCAAACACGAUUAGACACGAAAUAUAUUAAAAUUAAAUAUAAAUAUGAUAUAUUUAAUAUUCGUAUUUUAAAUUUAAAAUAUAUACACAUAUACGUUUAAUAAACGUAUAACAUGACACGACACGAUUAACACAUUUAUUAAACGUGUCAAUUUAUAACACGAUACGAUUAAUAAUACGUUUAACAUAAUUAUAUAAAAAUAUUUAAAAUUAAAUAUAAUUUUAUUAUUUAAAUUUAAAAUCUAUAAUUAUAAAAAUAAUUAUAAUAAAACAAAAAAAAAUAAUAUCAAAUAUAAUGAAAUUUAAUAUAAAUCACAUAUGCAAAAUUUAUUAUCAUAUAAUAUGAUAAAAUACAUCAUUAACAUCUAACUUUCAAAUACUAAUAAUAUAAAAAAUCAUUCAUAAUUUUUAAUCAUAAUAAUUACAUUAUUACAUUUAUAAAAUUAAAAAAACUUAUUAAAAUAAUUAUUUAAAAUUAUUUAUAUAAAACUAAAAUAAUCUUUAAUAAUUAUUUUUAAUAAGUUAAUAAACGUGUUACAUAUACACAUUUAAAUACGAUAACACGAUUAAAAAAAUAUAUUUAAAUGUGUUUGUCGUGUCUGACACGUUAAGACAAAAUUCAAACCAAAUUAAGAGUUUUUUUUUUGAAAUUCAAACCAAAUUAAGAGUCUAGUGUUAACAUUACACCAGCAACAAAAUUCAACUAGGAUGGGAAACACCCAAAACCUCUAUUUAGGGGUUUGAAAGCCCUUGUUUCCAGUGUUUGAAGAAAUCUGAAAAAUGGUACAAAAUUAACCAAUGGUUUAUUGGUUUUCAGAUUUAGACAAGUGAACUUAGAGUAACUUAUGUGAGACUUCGGAUACUCUUGAACCUUGAGCCAAUUAGAUAUUUCACAGACAGAUUGGUUCUCCUGAGUUUAAUUUUCAAUGUCUCAAAAGAUCUUUUUUGUUGCUUAAAAGAGAAAGCACCAUAGUUGAGGUCUAGCAAUUCAUCCCAUAAGUACAUGCUUCAUUGAGAGUUUGAGACUUGGCCCCUACGCUUGUAUUUGAAUUGUGUUACACUAUGAACGCUAGAUUUUGAUUAACAUUUACAUGAUGAACGAUGAACGUGAUUAUUGAUUGGGUUGUUUAACAUAUAACCUGAUGGUUUUACCACUAGAGUUUAUGUAAAAUUAUGUGAGCACCAUGCUGUGGACGUAGAGUGAUGUUGGUGCAGGGAGAGUGAGCAUAGGAAGGGGAAAGCUCGAACCAGAAUUGUCUGAGGAUCAUUGCAAGCGCCAUUUUUGCUUCCAUCAGAGCAAAGUUCUGUCCAAUGCAGAUUCUAGGACCCCAUCCAAAAGGGAAAUAUAUGACUUGACUCUUUGUUGCUUUCGAAACCCCUUCCGAGAACCUGUCAGGAUUGAACUCAUGUGCAUCAUCGCCCCAAAGUUCUUGAUCAUGGUGAAUCAGCAGCACUGGCAGCGUAAUUUCUGCGCCAGCUGGUAACAACAAUUUUCCCAGUCUCGUAUCUUUCGGAACGGAGCGCCCUAGUGCAACGACUGCCGGGUACAGCCUAAGAACCUCGUGCAAGAUCAUUGUUACCUGUGGCAUUGAAUCAAUUAAAGUAAAUAUAGAAAAAUGUGCUCUUAAUUUGGUCCAUUAUAAUCGGAGAACAGGACUUACGACUUUCAGACGGUUCAAGCCAUCAGAAUCUGGUUUACUGUCACCAAAAACUUCCAAAACCUCUUCUCUUGCCUUAGUCUGCCAAUGUGGAUGCCUUGCCAACAAAAUCAUUGUCCAAACCAGCAAAACGGAGGUGGUCUCUUGGCCAGCAAAGUAAAACAGCUUGCACUCCUCAAUCACAUCUUCAAUGCUCAUUCCCAUGUUCUUGUGAUCCCCUUGUUCUUGAAUUUCUCUAAUGUUGGAUUCUACAAGUAUGCCUAACAAGUCAUCAUUACUGACUUCACUCGCCUUAGUUGCCUCCUCUCUUUUCUUUAUCAUUCCCUUCAGUGAGUCUUUUAUAUCUUUGGCAAUCACCUUCAUCUUCCUGUUUGUCUUAGUUGGUAGAUACCUAAUAAGACAAAUGUAAAAUAUAGCUUUUAGCACAUAAAGAAGAAAAUCCUUGACCAAAAUGGAUUGAACUGUGAAAAAUAACAAAUUUUACCUCCAUCCCGGAAUGUAAGCUGACUGUACCACUUGCAUUGUAAGACUGGUUUGAUCCUCUAGUAGUUGGAAAAUUCGUCUACCUUCUUCGUAGCUGCUUCCAAAUGCUGCUCGGGAAAUCACAUCUCUUGUCAAUUUUACGAGGUAAGGCCACACAUCUAACUCACUAGACCCCUCUAAGAAAACCAGCUUCUCCCAUUUGCUGAUCAUCUCAAUACAACUUUGAUAGAAAGCUGGCAACAUGUUCUGUAAUGAUUUCCACAUCAGGAUAAGAUUACUGUCAUUGGUACUAUUUUUGAACAAUUAAUACAUGUAUAUACUAAGUACUCAUUAACACCGUAAGCAAAUUUGGGAUGAAAUAAGUUAAUUUUGGUGCAGGGAGCCAUAAAUUUUCCUCGAUGUUUCUCCAUUAUUACUGCAUUUUCCAGGUGUUCCCAUAAAGGCUUCCUCACCAGCCACAACACUCAAAACAAACCAAGGAAGGAAUACCCAGUGCUACUCUUACUCAGUUGCAAUAAUUACCUCACCCAGGAUAAUUAAAGGAUGCAUAUUGAUAAAGAAAUCAAAAGUGGAAAUAGAACAUGCCUUCAACUUAUCUUGAUGAAAUGCAGGGUUGAUGAUCUUUCUAUGCUUAGCCCACUCCUCUCCAUCGAGGUUUACAAGUCCACUUACAAGUAAGGUGACAAGAGGGUUGCUAUGCGGCUUCUGAAAGUCAUUGAAUUUGGUAAAUAUCUCUCUUAUUUCUUCAGGUUCCAUGAUGGUCACCCUUGGAAUCGGACCAACCCAAGAAAAAGAACUCUUGCCUGCAUUUUCCCCAGAUUUCAUAUCAAAGCAUUGGGAAUUAAAAUUUUAAUUCAAAGAUUAAUUAAAUGCUUUCAGUGUGUUUAAUUACUCAAUUUUGAAUAUUCCUUUAAUAAAAUGUUAGGUUGUUGGAAUCUGCCUCAUGUACUUAACCAAUAUUUUAUAAUUAUUGUAUUUGACUGCUUAUGUUAUCCAUUAAUGUUUUCAAUGCCAUUAAAACAGUAAUAAAAAUUUAUUCAAUAAUCAUUUUUGAUAAUAUACAGAAAGAAGAAGAAUUGAACAAUUAUUAACCCAAACAUGUCAUCAUACCCAACUUCAGCAAAAUGGCUUGUGGGCUCCAAUGGUCUUUUGGCUUAUCCGUCACUUUCAUGUAUUUUUUAGUUUUUCUCCCAUUUGCCAUUUCAAUAUUAAAAUACUCUGGGAAAAAAAUUGGCUUAAAUUACUCAUACUAAACUUGAAUUAUGUUGUUCAGAAAAGAUUUUCCUAUAUUUUUUUAUCUAAAUUUAAACAUUUUCUUUCUGAUAGUAUUUCUUUCAAUUAAUCACUGUUUAGGCUGAAUAAAACUUCCUAUGCUCAACGAUCACAGUAAUCGACACAUAUAAUUAAAAUAAUCAUCGAUUAAAUGGAUUCAUUUAAUUAUGUAUCAAAAAAUUGAAACAAAAUUAAAUACAUGUCAAAACUGAACGGACUAAAACCAUUUUUCAUGUUACUAAGAUGGAACAAAACACUAAAAAUUUUGUAAUAAAAUGAUAAUUUGAUCCAAAAAAACAACAUUCAAACUAUUAAGAGAUUAAAACGAGAUUUAGUAGAUGAAAGAAGAUCAUUCCAAUUUAGGCAUACCAGAAUUCUUGACAGUUUGAUGAAGGAAAGGACCAACUUAUUGCGUAAUAUCAUCACUGAGGGGCAUAGGUUUGGAUCUUGCUUGUCUGCUCAUGGCGAAGCUCUCUUUGAUAUCUCCAGACAAAAACCUGUAAGAAUUGCCUGUAAGACCCUGUUUCCUCAGGCACCUUUCCAGCCUCUUUGGCCUCAUCCACACCCAGUCUAAGAUUCUCCAUCCCC
rnacentral:lncRNA from 1 species